rnacentral:rRNA from 1 species
UACGGGGGGAGCAAGCGUUGUUCGGAUUUACUGGGCGUAAAGGGCGCGUAGGCGGUCAGCACAAGUCAGUUGUGAAAUCUCCGGGCUUAACCCGGAAAGGUCAACUGAUACUGUGCGGCUAGAGUGCGGAAGGGGCAACUGGAAUUCUCGGUGUAGCGGUGAAAUGCGUAGAUAUCGAGAGGAACACCUGCGGCGAAGGCGGGUUGCUGGGCCGACACUGACGCUGAGGUGCGAAAGCGUGGGGAGCAAACAGG